AUUGAACGCUGGCGGCAGGCCUAACACAUGCAAGUCGAGCGGCAGCGGGAAAGUAGCUUGCUACUUUUGCCGGCGAGCGGCGGACGGGUGAGUAAUGCCUGGGGAUCUGCCCAGUCGAGGGGGAUAACUACUGGAAACGGUAGCUAAUACCGCAUACGCCCUACGGGGGAAAGCAGGGGACCUUCGGGCCUUGCGCGACUGGAUGAACCCAGGUGGGAUUAGCUAGUUGGUGAGGUAACGGCUCACCAAG
rnacentral:rRNA from 1 species